rnacentral:rRNA from 1 species
AGUGUAAGAAGAGCACACGGCGGAUGCCUAGACACUUUUGGACGAUGAAGGACGUAGCAGCCUGCGAUAAGCUUCGGUGAGGUGGCAAGCAACCUUUGACCCGGAGAUCUCCGAAUGGGGGAACCCAUUCCGAUUUAAUCGGAAUACCAUAUACUAAAUACAUAGGUAUAUGGAGAAGACCUGGUGAAGUGAAACAUCUCAGUAACCAGAGGAAAAUAGAACAAUACAAAGCUUCAUUUUUUAAUUCCUAAUUUCUAAUCGCUCCAAUUCCUUUACGGGAUUGGACAUUAGAUAAUUAGGAGUUUUGUGGAGCGUGAUUCCCCGAGUAGUGGCGAGCGAAAAGGGAAAAGCCCAAACCUAUACUGUGUUGGAUCAUUGACGUUUUUUGUCUUCGGACUAGAUUCUAGAUGAUUCUUAAAGGACAGGCCCUUGCAGUAUAGGGGUUGUAGGAUAUAUGUGUCAGCUACCUGAUAUGCUGGAUAUCUGUAUAUAUGUAUAGUCGAAGACUCCUGGAACGGAGCACAACAUGAGGUGAUAGUCCUGUAGAUGAAAUAUAGAUAUAUAGAUAUUGCAUGUAUCCUGAGUACGGCGGAACACGUGAAAUUCCGUCGGAAUUUGCCGCGACUAUGCGGUAAGGCUAAAUACCAAAAGUGAUCGAUAGUGAACUAGUACCGUGAGGGAAAGGUGAAAAGCAGCCCGGAGAGGGCGGUGAAAUAGUACCUGAAACCGUGUGCUUACAAUGAGCUGGAGUCCCGCAGAGCGCAAGCUUUUGCGGGAUGACAGUGUUCCUAUUGAAGAAUGAGCCUGCGAGUUAUUCCGACUGGCUUGGUUAAACCGUUCUGCGGUGGAGCCAUAGCGAAAGCGAGUCUUAACCGGCGUUCCCGCAAGGGGUGUCGGUCGGAAUAGACCCGAAACUGGGUGAGCAAUCCAUGGCCAGGUUGAACCCCGACGAAAGUCGGGGGGAGGACCGAACCCACGCGUCGUGCGACACGCGGGGAUGAGCUGUGGAUAGCGGAGAAAUUCCUAUCGAACUCAGUAAUAGCUGGUUCUCCUCGAAAUAGCUUUAGGGCUAGCUGUGCGUGUUUCCUCUGGUGGUAGAGCACUGGAUGAGGUUGGGGUCCUUCGGGAUACUCACUUCAAUCAAACUCCGAAUGCCAGAGAUUCACAGCGCGCAAGUCAGACCGUGGGGGCUAAGCUCCAUUGGUCAAAAGGGAAACAGCCCAGAUCGCAAACUAAGGCCCCUAAAUUACCGCUAAGUGUAAAAGGUGGUUUUAAUUCUCUAACAACCAGGAGGUUGGCUUAGAAGCAGCCAUCCUUUAAAGAAAGCGUAAUAGCUCACUGGUCCAGAGUUUUAGCGCCGAAAAUAUACCGGGGCUAAGCGGUAUGCCGAAGUUGCGAAUCCGGCUCUGCCGGAUGGUAGAGGAGCAUUCCCAUCAGCGUUGAAGCCAGACCCGCGAGGGCAGGUGGAGCGAUGGGAAGAGAGAAUGCAGGCACAAGUAGCAAAAACGCAGGUGAGAGUCCUGCGCGCCGAAAAUCCAAGGUUUCCAGGGCAACGCGAAUCGUCCCUGGGUUAGUCGGUCCUAAGGUGAGCCCGGCAUUGCCGGGGUAGCUGAUGGACAGCAGGCAAAUAUUCCUGCACUUGGUAUAGUUUGUUGCGAUAUGCGCAUUGCAAAGAUAUGAACGUCACAGGCAUUGGGCGUCCCGCAAGGGGAAGAUCGCGGCUUCGGCCAAGGUCAAUUCAUGUUGGAGCAGUGCCCAGAAAAGUAUUGUAACGUUAGGCUAUAUCAAACCGUACCGUAAACCGACUCCGGUGGAUAGGUCGAGAAGACUAAGGCGAACGAGAGAAACAUGGUUAAGGAACUCGGCAAAACAGCGGCCGUAACUUCGGGAUAAGGCCUCCCGGCUCUGCCGGGUCAACAAAAGACUCCAUGCAGCUGUUUAUCAAAAACACAGCUCCCUGCUAACUCGCAAGAGGAUGUAUAGGGGGUGAUGCCUGGCCAGUGUCAGAACGUUAAGAGGAGGGGUUAUCCGGCUUCGGCCGGAAAAGCUCCGAUCCGAAGCGCUGAUGAACGCCGGCGGUAACUAUAACCGUCCUAAGGUAGCGAAAUUCCUUGUCGGGUGAGUUCCGACCCGCACGAAUGGCAUAAUGAUGUGGAGACUGUCUUGACCAUGUACUCGGUGAAAAUGCAAGUGUCGUGAAGAUGCGACGUACCCGCAGCUAGACGAAAAGACCCCGUGAAGCUUUACUAUAGUUUGAUAUUGGUACCUUGUUUCACAUGUUCAGAAUAGGUGGGACCCGGCUUGCCGGGAACAGUGAGAUACCACCCUUGUGCUAUGAUGUAUCUAAUUUCUCCGCCUGAAUCGGCGGAGGAAGACAGUAUCUGAUGGGUAGUUUAACUGGGGCGGUUGCCUCCCAAACAAUAACGGAGGCGUUUACAAAGGUCGGCUUAGUCCGGAUGGAAAUCGGACUGGACGUGCAAACGCAUAAGCCGGCUUUACUGCAAGGGUUACCACCCGCGCAGUCGCGAAAGCGGAAGUUAGUGAUCCGACCGUACGAUAUAGGACGGCGGAAGCUCAACGGAUAAAAGCUACUCCGGGGAUAACAGGCUGAUCGCGCCCAAGCGUCCACAGCGACGGCGCGGUUUGGCACCUUAACAUAUCGGGGUGCGCAAACAGUGAUGUUUAUCCUCACUUUUCGUUUAAUAUAUAUUUUAGAUAGGUGAAAUAAAUCGGCUUAUAACGGUGAACCCGUAAGUCCACCCCACAAUAGUGGACACGGCAAUACCGUGGGAAGUUCAACCUUCGCCAGAGGCUAGGGCCGACAAGCUAUCACAGCAAAUGCUAUGGUACUUGUACCCCGCCAAAAGCGUAGGAGUAACCCCGUAACGACUGACCCGAAAGGGGAGGUUUCUCCGGAUUUUAGAUCAGGAGAGACAAGACGCCGACUCUUGCUACGUCAAAACUGAGAUCAUGUCUGGCAUUGCCGGGCUACCAUCCAGAGCAAGAAGAAGAUAUAGUCUACGCCACAAGAAACUGUGGAAUCAAGUACGAUGUCGGCUCAUCGCAUCCUGGGGCUGGAGAAGGUCCCAAGGGUUUGGCUGUUCGCCAAUUAAAGCGGUACGCGAGCUGGGUUCAGAACGUCGUGAGACAGUUCGGUCUCCUAUCUGUUGUGGGCGUAGAAUACUGAGAGAGCUCAUCCCUAGUACGAGAGGACCGGGAUGGACGAACCUCUGGUGUACCAGUUGUGCGCCACGCAUCGCUGGGUAGCUAAGUUCGGAGCGGAUAAGCGCUGAAAGCAUCUAAGUGCGAAGCCGUUCUCAAGAUUAGUAUUCAUUUGAGAUCCCUUCGAGACGAGAAGGUUGAUAGGCGCCAGGUGUAUGC